UACGAAGGGGGCUAGCGUUGUUCGGAAUCACUGGGCGUAAAGCGCACGUAGGCGGGUCGUUAAGUCGGGGGUGAAAUGCCAAGGCUCAACCUUGGAACUGCCUUCGAUACUGGCGAUCUCGAGUCCGGGAGAGGUGAGUGGAACUCCGAGUGUAGAGGUGAAAUUCGUAGAUAUUCGGAAGAACACCAGUGGCGAAGGCGGCUCACUGGCCCGGUACUGACGCUGAGGUGCGAAAGCGUGGGGAGCAAAC
rnacentral:rRNA from 1 species